CGCAAUCGUCGACUUGGGGGAUGCAGCCAUAAUGAUUUCUACAGAUACGGGUUACGUUUCAAAGAAAGCCAUCGACAGAAUGGUUUUUCUUUCACUUAAUACAAAUUAAUACCGAAGGACCAGCUGGAAUUAGCCAAUACAAGUUUUUUUUUUCAAAGUUCCAUGUUAAAAAAGAUAUAAUAAAAAAGAUGUCUGAUUGUGAUUAUUAUUAGCACUUAAUUAUUGUGUCAUAAUUUUUAAGGGGGGCUUAUAAGGGUUGUUAUCCAGUGUUGCUUUUCCCCUGAAUUAAAGCACAGAACCCCUUGAAGAACUGCCGCUGACAUUUUCAUUUCAUUUGACAGUUUUUUCAUGGCCAAGCAAGACCAAGAUAAAUGUUAUCUUAUUUUAUGUUUGGAUACGGCUCUCCCUUUUUAAUAAACUUUUAAAACUUAGUAGCCCUAUUCUUUGGUAGAUCAGGCAUAUUUGAAAUGGGAUUUUCCUCAGUCUGUUUCCAUUCCUGUUCCCGUAAACAUCUAUAUUGUUGAAUUUUCGUUCUAUAGUUGGAAAAAAAAGAUUAUUUUUUCACAAAACAGUCCGAAGGGUUGGAGCUCCAAAGAUUGGCUGAAAUAAAUGUGCGAUUUAAGCACCUACAAAAUAUAGUCCAUGCGGAAGAUGAAAUCAUGGCAUACUUUAUGCUGGAAAUUAAAACAAUUUGCAGCACAAGAAGUUUUCUGUUCUCCUUGCUGCAGCCCCUGCUGUGGACCCUGCUGCAGUCCGUGCUGCAGUCCGUGCUGCAGUUCGUUCUGCAGCCCCUGCUGCACUCCCUGCUGCUCCCCCUGCUCCUAUCCCUGCUCCUAUCCCUGCUGCUAUCCCUGUGGGGCCCCAGGCGCUGGAUUCUGGUUCAGCCAAAUUUAUUGAUGCAAACAGCUAUGCAAUAAAAUCAUAGCAAGAAACUACAUGAAAUCCGUACAAUUAAGCAAAUAAAAUUAGUUUUUAACUAUUUCAUGGACAAUAGUGCCAAAGGGAAGGCUAAUUUGGGGGCUGGGUGCUUAAAAAAUCACUUAAGGAUCCCCUACACUGUUGGGAUUAUAGGAUUUUUCUCGCUGAACACGAAUCAGGCCUCCAAAAGUGCAAUUACAUUGAUACGCCAUUGUGUAUCGCCCAUUGUGUAAAAAAAUAACAAUUUGUGGUAUACGAGGGUAUCUGUAGUCCUUAUGUAAAAAUUGUAUAUAUGUAGAUAUAAGAACCACCCGAUCAAAACAAAGACAGAAACUAGGCAGCAAUGUAAGCUCCCGUUUGUUGCUCCUUGCUCCGCAUUUGCUGAGAGCGUGGCCUGAGAGAGUGAAAGAGCGAGAGACACUCGUGUCAGCAGAGUGUGGAUGGCAUUUUAAUGUUUUUGUUGCUGAGAGAGCAAAUGGGUUCCGUUUGCCGAGAAUCCGAACUCCCUGCUCUCGUGUUCUCGCAAUCUCGCAUUGUUGAUGCUGAGAGAGAAGACGAAAGACACGAUCGGGAAUAAAAAGACAGCCACAAAGCAACUGCGAGAGUGUAUGUAUGUGUGCGUGCAUUGCGGUCGGGAAGCAAAGCUCUCGCUUGCAGAUGAAAUGAAGAUCAAGAGAUAAGACAAUUUGACAGUGCGCUUGGAGGCGAAGUACAAGAAAAAUGCAAGAAAAGAAGAAGCCUAAUCUCUGACACGGUCCUAACAAGUUUGGAUAUGUAGUAAAUCGAAUGCUGGAAGGCGAUUUAACAAUUUGGGUUUCCGCAAAGCCCUACAUGCCCUCGAAGACGGUUUCCAUCAACAGAGGCCUCUCAAGUGACCCCGGCCAAUGGAAAAAAACCCUGCUGACGAGACUUUUGGCAAAGGCUUUACAUAAGAGUACCCACACCUUACAGUGCUUUAGAAAUGGGGCAGCUGUCGUUAGGAUACAAACCCCCAUUUCCUCCCCCCCCACAAAUAUAAUUUUUCACUAAAAAAUAUACAUCACAGUAGGCUGUAUUCUGUAACCUUUGGAAUAUUCAGGCCCUUAGUUGUAAAACCAAACAAUUUUUCAUUCGUUUUCCGGCUCUCGUUCAGGCAACAACUAAAAAUUAUUUUCGGGAAAAAAAAAUUAUGAAAAUUAUUUGAGUAAAAAAAUUUGUGUGUAAAAAUGUUUACGCGAGUUAAAAAAUUUUGUUUGCGAAAAGUAUCACAAGUGUAAAAAUUAUUAUUCGUAAAUCCUAAUUCCAAUGAUGGCUAAAAGUAUUUCCACACAAUUCAGCCCACACUCCAUACUCCAAACUACACAAUCCACACUUUAAGCUACCCAGUCCACACUCAUUGAACCGCAUUUCAAUCUACCAGACUCUUAUACACAAACUACACUUCGAUAAGCAUAUACAUAUGUAUAAGCAUACUUCUUAUACGCUAAUCUGCACACUUAUACUCUGAUCUGCACACUUAUCUACACUCUACGCCAAUCUGCGGAGUUAUUUACACUCUACGCCAAUCUGCGGAGUUAAUUACACUCUACGCCAAUCUGCAAAACUAACCUACACUCUACGCACUGGACGCACUUCAGCAAAGCAAAUGAAAAAUGGUCGAUUAACACAACUCAAUACUCAAAGGAUACGUGUUUGGCCAUAUGUUUGGAAUUAGGGUAAAACAUGUUUUACAUGUUCUCGCAACGCAAUCGUCUACUUGGGGGAUGCAGCAAUAAUGAUUUCUACAGAUACGGGUUACGUUUCAAAGAAAGCCAUCGACAGAAUGGUUUUUCUUUCACUUAAUACAAAUUAAUACCGAAGGACCAGCUGGAAUUAGCCAAUACAAGUUUUUUUUUCAAAGUUCCAUGUUAAAAAUGUUUCAUUUGACAGUUUUUUCAUGGCCAAGCAAGACCAUGACCGGCAUAA